rnacentral:rRNA from 1 species
GAUGAACGCUGGCGGCGUGCCUAAUACAUGCAAGUCGAGCGAACGGACGAGAAGCUUGCUUCUCUGAUGUUAGCGGCGGACGGGUGAGUAACACGUGGAUAACCUACCUAUAAGACUGGGAUAACUUCGGGAAACCGUAGCUAAUACCGGAUAAUAUUUUGAACCGCAUGGUUCAAUAGCGAAAGACGGUUUUGCUGUCACUUAUAGAUGGAUCCGCGCUGCAUUAGCUAGUUGGUAAGGUAACGGCUUACCAAGGCAACGAUGCAUAGCCGACCUGAGAGGGUGAUCGGCCACACUGGAACUGAGACACGGUCCAGACUCCUACGGGAGGCAGCAGUAGGGAAUCUUCCGCAAUGGGCGAAAGCCUGACGGAGCAACGCCGCGUGAGUGAUGAAGGUCUUCGGAUCGUAAAACUCUGUUAUUAGGGAAGAACAUAUGUGUAAGUAACUGUGCACAUCUUGACGGUACCUAAUCAGAAAGCCACGGCUAACUACGUG